CUGGGCCUGAUCUGAUCCCCGGUGGUGUGCUGUGCUCCCGGACACACUGGAGCCGCUUUCCGACCGUGGGAGACAGCGGUUGCAUGGUGGUGACAACAGUGGAUGGGGUGCCCUGGGAAGUGAUCUUGGCACGACGCUUCUCGACUCCCUGGAAGCGCCGAAUCCUCCCUCCGUUCCAGCGGUGUUGAUGAACACAAGUAUAACUUCUUUACGGUGGCUCGAGGACAGUCAUGUCUGCGGAUGUCUGAUAGCGGACAACCGCACGCCCUCAUUGUGAGAGAGCCGGCAUGGAAACGCAGCGGGAGCCCCACCCCUGUCAAAGAGGGCCCCAGUGAGAAGAGAAGACAAUGGACCCCAGACCCAGGGACACGCCACCUGCCCCAGACAUGAGCAGUCUGAUAUGGGUCACAUUUAAAAAAUAAUGUGAACUGCCAAUCAAAAAAAUCUGAUCUGGGCAAUAAAUCGGAAUUGAGCGUA